rnacentral:lncRNA from 1 species
GCCCUGGGGACCCAACAGUAGAUAAAGUGGGCUGGUGACACAGAGGGACACUGAGCUGUGCAACCCCAGACACACAGACCGGGGCUCUCAAGAACAGAUCAGCACAAACAGGGCCAGGCCCGCCUGCUACGUGGCCUCUGCCCAGGGCCUUGGGCAGUGGAGAAGCCCUUCGGGCCUCCGUGGAGUCAGUUGGCACAUAAGGAACCGGUGUGCUGACCAUCAGUGUUUACCAUCACUAGGGCUGGCUUUCUGUCAAUCACAUCAAGCCAUGUUUCUUUAGGGUAGAUCAUAAGACAAUUGUUUUCAUCUGUUUGCCCUACAAAGCCCUUGAUAUGUGAGUAUGCCAUCCUCCUGACGAGCCCUGAUCAAGGGAGAAAGCACAGAAGUCCAGCAAGAGAGUUUUCCAGACAUCGUGUGUCCAGAGCGAUGAGUGCACAGCAGCUGCGGAGUCCUUGAGAUUGGAUCCAAAUGGGGCGUUCAGGCAGAGGAACAGAUGCAAUGAGCUCCGGGAUGCCUAGGAGACUACUGUUCCCUGGGGAAAGCACGGAUCAAGGACAGACACACAGAGAAGAGGAGGGGGCAGCGUGACCACAGAGGCAGAGACUGCAGCAAAGACCAGCUAAAGCCACCAGAUGCUGCAAGAGGCACAGAACGCAUUCUCCCUAGGGCCUUUGGCGGGAGCACAGCCCUGCUGACAACUUGAUUGCAGACUUCUGGCCUCCAGAAUUGUGAAAGAAUAAAUGUCUGCUG